rnacentral:rRNA from 1 species
CCUGGGAACUGCGUUNUGAACUGGGUGACUAGAGUGUGUCAGAGGGAGGUAGAAUUCCACGUGUAGCAGUGAAAUGCGUAGAGAUGUGGAGGAAUACCGAUGGCGAAGGCAGCNUCCUGGGAUAACACUGACGUUCAUGCCCGAAAGCGUGGGUAGCAAACAGGAUUAGAUACCCUGGUAGUCCACGCCCUAAACGAUGUCGAUUAGCUGUUGGGCAGCAUGACUGCUUAGUAGCGAAGCUAACGCGUGAAAUCGACCGCCUGGGGAGUACGGUCGCAAGAUUAAAACUCAAAGGAAUUGACGGGGACCCGCACAAGCGGUGGAUGAUGUGGAUUAAUUCGAUGCAACGCGAAGAACCUUACCUGGUCUUGACAUGUACGGAACCCUCCAGAGACGGAGGAGUGCCUUCGGGAGCCGUAACACAGGUGCUGCAUGGCUGUCGUCAGCUCGUGUCGUGAGAUGUUGGGUUAAGUCCCGCAACGAGCGCAACCCUUGUCAUUAGUUGCCAUCAUUAAGUUGGGCACUCUAAUGAGACUGCCGGUGACAAGCCGGAGGAAGGUGGGGAUGACGUCAAGUCCUCAUGGCCCUUAUGACCAGGGCUUCACACGUCAUACAAUGGUCGGUACAGAGGGUAGCCAAGCCGCGAGGCGGAGCCAAUCUCACAAAACUGAUCGUAGUCCGGAUUGCACUCUGCAACUCGAGUGCAUGAAGUCGGAAUCGCUAGUAAUCGCAGGUCAGCAUACUGCGGUGAAUACGUUCCCGGGUCUUGUACACACCGCCCGUCACACCAUGGGAGUGGGGGAUACCAGAAGUAGGUAGGGUAACCGCAAGGAGC